UACGUAGGGUGCAAGCGUUAAUCGGAAUUACUGGGCGUAAAGCGUGCGCAGGCGGUGAUGUAAGACAGGUGUGAAAUCCCCGGGCUUAACCUGGAACUGCAUUUGUGACUGCAUCGCUGGAGUGCGGCAGAGGGGGAUGGAAUUCCGCGUGUAGCAGUGAAAUGCGUAGAUAUGCGGAGGAACACCGAUGGCGAAGGCAAUCCCCUGGGCCUGCACUGACGCUCAUGCACGAAAGCGUGGGGAGCAAACAGG
rnacentral:rRNA from 1 species